CAGCCUCUCAGGAGGGGGCUGCACGAGGACCUGAUGCGGCUAUCGGUCGGCGGCCGCCCUCCUGGGCCACCUGUACAGCGAUAGCCUGCUCCAGAGCUUCCUGAGGAGGCGCCUGCCCGCCAAGAAUAAGUAAGAGGCCUGAUCUGGCUGAGUUGCCCCAGGAUGCCCAGUGCUGGAACACACUUUAGGCACUCAAAAGACAUUGGUGGACUGAAAUUAUAAAUGACCCUGUCUUCCUCCUAAGAGCUUCUGUGGAGCUUCUCUUACUCCUUUCCUUCCUCAUCAUUUGACAGGCUCCUUGUGAUCAUGGAUGAAUAAGCACCUGUGCUAGGAGCUGUUGGGUAAAGCCUUCACCUUUCCUAGUGAUAAGAGACUGGAAAUUGUUCGUGUCAAAGCAAAGUCUUUUGUUUUGCAAGGGGAAAAUGUGCAUUGUGGUAGAACUUGAUCAUUGUUUAGGAAUUUCCAAAUAGGUAGGGCAAGGUGGUUCAUGAUAGUAAUCCCAGAACUUUGGGAGGCUGAGGCGACCAGAUCACUGAUGCUAGCUUAUCAGCUUCUUGAGGGCAAGAGCUGUUAUUUUUACUUAUUUUAUUCUGUUCAUUGAAAGUACUCAGCUGAAUGAACUAAUGUUCCUCAGUGAACACUGGGUGUUCAAAUAGUUGAAUGAAUGAAUCAGUUACUUAAAGAACAACAUUAGACAAUUAAAAUUUGAUAGUGUUACAGGGGCUUUGGAAAUCCUCCAAGUCUAGUUCUUUACAGAUGAGAGUACAAGUAAUUUGCUCAAGGUCCCUAAGCUUCUUAAGAGGCUAGGUCACACGUACAACCCGUGGUCUCGCACCUCUCUUAUUUCAAGGCUCUUUCUUGUCUCCAGCCAGCCUAAUUUCUGAAUACUUUUCGGUGAAUCUGACUUACAACUCAAACACAGAAAUCCUGAGCCAAAUACUUGCUUCUUGUCAACUAAAAAGGCUUUUGAGCCUAUGCUUUUUCAUCUUGAUUAAAUCCAACCCUGGGGAUAAUGGUCUAAUGAACUCAAAAGUGCUAUAUGAUAUUAAAACAACUUCCCAGCUUCCUUUGUACCUUUCAAUGAUAAGAGACUGGAAAUUGUUCCUGUCAAACCAAAGUCUUUUGUUUUGCAAGGGGAAAAUGUGCAUUGUGGUAUAACUUGAUCAUUGUUUAGAAAUUUCCAGAUAGGCCAGCAAGGUGGCUCAUGCCUGUAAUCCCAAAACUUUGGGAGGCUGAGGCAGGUAGAUCACGAGGUUAGGAGUUUAUAAACAGCCUGACCAACACGGUGAAACCCCGUCUCUACUAAAAAUACAAAAAUUAGCACUCCAGCCUGGGCGACAGAGUGAGAUUCUGUCUCAAAAAAAAAAAAAAAAAAAAAAAAAAAAUGGAAAAAAGAAAUUUCCAAAUAACCAGAAUUUUGACAAAGAUCAAAAGUCUUCUGUUUUUGAAGUUUUGCCAAACCCCAGUGGUAAAAUAACACAUGACAGGUGAAAAUGGGGAAGGGCGCCUUACUUGAGAUUACUUUCAUUGGCUAAAUUUGACCUUCUUCUCCUUAGACACAUUUAUGUCACCUGACUGUAUCUGCAGCGGUUGUCAAUCACCAACCAGUCUCUAGUUAGACCCUUGUUUUUUUGAGGGCUAAGGACCAUUUUUCCUUCUUGUUUAAAAGGAAUUCAGGGUUUCUUCUUUGUUCUUUUUGAUCAUUUCAUAUAGGCAGCACCUGGUUAGGGGAGUCUCAGUGUCAUGCUUUCAGUUUUUAGACCUUUAUACUUUAUUUUCUUUCUUUUUUCUGUUUUUUUUUGCUGGGAUUGCAGGUGUGAGCCACUGUGCCUGGCAUAGACCUUUAUAGUUUCUUCCAAGGUAUCUGACAGCGCACUGUGUCAGAGGAAGCAAAGCUAUCUUUUUUUUUUUUUUUGAGACUGAGUCUCACUCUGUUGCCCAGGCUGGAGUACAGUGGUUCGAUCCUGGCUCACUGCAAUCCUCCACCUCCCUAGUUUAAGCCAUUCUCCCGCCUCACCCUCCUGAGUAGCUGGGAUUACAGGCACUUGCCACCAUGCCCAACUAAUUUUUAUACUUUUCACAGAGAUGGGGUUUCACCAUGUUAGCCAGGCUGAUCUCGAACUCCUGACCUCAAGUGAUCUGCCUGCCUCUACCUCGCAAAGUGCUGGGAUUACAGGCAUGAGCCACCACGCUUAGCCAGCAGAACUAUCUUUUGCCUACCUAGAAUGAUUGGAACUUUGCUUAUCAAGUUCAGCUUAACCUUGGGAAUCUUCCCCAAAAGAUGGUUUAUUGGAGAGUUAUCUAAAUAGACAUAUUAAAUAUCUUCCCAGGAGGAGAUCUCCCAUUAGGUGUGUCUCCUUCUUCAAUGUAAAUAAUCAUGAUACCAAAUACAGGGAAAAGAGAUUUGGAUGGAGGGGGCAGCUAAGUAGAAAGGGUAGUUUCUUUGUUUUCAACAUUUAUUAUUUUUUUUAAAUUUUUAAAAAUUUUUUUAUUUUUUUGAGAUGGAGUUUCGCUCUUGUUACCCAGGCUGGAGUGCAAUGGCACAAUCUCGGCUCACCGCAACCUCUGCCUCCUGGGUUCAGGCAAUUCUCCUGCCUCAGCUUCCUGAGUAGCUGGGAUUACAGGCACGUGCCACCAUGCCCAGCUAAUUUUUUUUUUUUUUUUUUGUAUUUUUAGUAGAAAUGGGGUUUCACCAUGUUGACCAGGAUGGUCUUGAUCUCUUGACCUCAUGAUCCACCCGCCUUGGCCUCCCAAAUUGCUGGGAUUACAGGCUUGAGCCACCGCGCCCGGCCUAAAUUUUUUUUUUUUGAGACAGAGUCUCACUCUGUCGCCUCAGCAGUAGUGCAGUGGUGCCAUAUUGGCUCACUGCAACCUCCGCCUCCCAGGUUCAAGUGAUUCUCCUGCCUCAGCCUCCGAGUAGCUUGGGAUUACAGGCGCCCGCCACUAUGCCUGGCUAAUUUUUGUAUUUUUAGUAAAGACGGAGUUUCACCACGUUGGUCAGGCUGGUCUUGAACUCCUGACCCAGGUGAUUCGCCCACCUCUGCUUCUCAAAGUGCUGAGAUUACAGGUGUGAGCUACCAUGCCCAGCCUCUCUUCAACAUUUAUUAGAACUCUGUAAAGCAUAAUGUCCGGUUAUCAUAAAGUUGACACCACCACGUUCAUUCAUCAAGCAUUUAUGUAUCUACCAUUAAUAAAGCACUCUACUUUGCACUGCAGCAAUCACAGAGGUAAUGACUUGGUCCCUGAACUAUGGAAUUUUACAGUUUAGUGAGAGAGGGAGAUCUGUAAUACUAAUGGAGAUAUAAAGUAUUAUGAUAUAAUGUAGAGAAGGAAGCUGUACAUUCUGAAUUGGGAAUCAAGACAGCCUUACAAAGGAGGUGACAUUUUGGGAAGAGAGCAUGGGUAUAUCAAUUUCUUUGCUUGUUCUUUGGCAAUGGUUAGAAUACCUCAAACCAAUAAAAGCAGACAUUUUGCCCACCACUUUAGAACCAGGAGAGAAAAGAAGGUGUAAGAUCCUUUCUUUCCACUCCUGGCAGCAACAUGCUCCUGAAAGCUAAAUGUUGCUUUUGCAAUUCCAAGUGUCUCACUAUGGUUAAGAGAAAAGCUGAGUAGAGAGAGCCCUCCCUCAUCUUGGUCUCCUUCCUCAGUAAGGUUAAGUCAAAUGUGGCUUUUUCUUUUUGGGUGCCUUGUUUCAAGUGCUUAUUUCUAUAUUGGGAUGUUAUUUUAUUCUGGUUUCCACUGGGGCAUGCAGUAGCCAUGUGAUUGCAGGGAGUGGUCAAUGGCACUUAUAAAUGUAUUAAUGAACAUGACUCUGAAGUCCUAAAAUUAUAAGCAGUACUGAGAAAAGAGAAGCAAAAUUAUUUAGAGAACUGAGGUUUUGAUUCAAGCCUUUGCAUGUGAACUGGCUAUAUUGCUAACUUAUUUCAGGUAUUUUGUAGAAAGAAAGGCAAAUGUAAAGAGUUACCAACUUGGCUGUAGCUUCUGAACUUUAUCCAUCCUUUGGCAGCCAAGGAGAAAGCAGUCAAUAUGAAAUAAGUCCCCAACUGUAAGAUCUAAACAUAACCUCCUGCUGCUUCUGCCCACACACUGUCAUCCUACAGAAUAUAAUUCCACAUGGAGGUGGCAAUUUAUUAUGGCCUUCAUCCUCACCAGAGCUGCAUAUCAAUUUCUGCCUCCUUCAGAUGGAUCUUUUCUGACUGGCAGAAGGAUCUCUAUGAGGGUUGUGUGUUUCUGGGGAAAGCCUAGAGUUUAAUGAACUAGAACAGGAAAUGACAGGGGCUGUAAGUGACAAUCUGCUGCUUGCUUGAGUGCCUAGACUAAGAAAUGAUGUCAAGGAAGAUAUUGAAUUCUCAAGCAUUAUGGAAAUGUUCUAUUUAGCUACUUGGUUCUGUCUUCUGCUGAAUGUGAAGUUUUGUUGAUGGGUAAAAUGAUGUCAUUCCCCUUAAUGAUUAUCACUUAAUAGAAGUUUCAAAUGAAAUUGACUUUAAACUGAUUUUCCUUGAUUGCUACUUGGUACAUCUGCACAGAGAUCUAGAUGGGGUGAUGUGCAAAAUGCACCACACUAUUGACAGCCUGUAAUUUGAGGCUCUUUAUUUUCUACACUUCUUGGUGCUUGGAAAAUGACAGUUACCUAAAAAAUGGUUUAGAAUUCCUCUAAGACCAUAUUGCAAGCUCAGCCCCAUGAGGGGCUUGUUUUUCUUCCCUUAGUUGAAACUAACUUCAUGAUAAGUUAAAUUUAUAAAUACUAAUGAUCUCUGAUUGCAAAGGUCCCAAAUUUAAGACCAGAAUACUUAUGAUCUUUGCAUAAGCUGAACACAAUAAUACAAGAAAUCUGAGGCAAACUUUUCUUACAUCGCUUCUCAUUAAACUAACAAAGGCCAAUUUCUUCCUGCCAAAAGAAAGGUUAAGCAGCUGGAAAGUGUAAGACAUCACAGGAAAAUUACCUACCUAGCUUUAAAAAUGGAAGGGAGAAAGAGACUUGGAAGAAGGCCUCCUUUAUAGGUUUGCUAGAACUUACAUAUUAGGAAACUGUCUUCCUCCAAAAAAGCCAGAUUUCUGUGGAAACCAUGUUCUUAAAUGUGCCAGGGGCUAUGUUAACCUCAAUCACAUUAAUGCACAGCACAGAAAGAUUUACUGUUUUAAGAGGCAUGGGGGCUGGAUGCGGUGACUCAUGCCUGUAAUCCCAGUACUUUCGGAGGAUGUGGAGGGAGGAGGAUCACUUGAGCCCAGGAGUUUGAGACCAGCCUGGGCAACAUGGUGAAACCCUGUCUCUAUAAAAAAAUAUAAAAAUUAGCUGGGCGUGGUGGCAUGAACCUGUAAUCCCAGCUACUCAGAAGGCUGAGGUAAAAGGAUUGAUUGAGCCCAUGAGGUUGAGGUUGCAGUGAGCUGUGAUCGUGCCGCUGUUCUGCAGCCUGGGUGACAGAGUGAGACCCUGUCUCAAAAAAAGAAAAGAAGCAUUGGGAAAAUCCAAAGUAUGGCUUCUACUCAUCAAUAACUGAGGACACUCCCCUCUUUUUGUUGAAGAGUGACUAGAUAUAAAACAUGCUCAAUAAAUACUGUUGAACAAAUGCACAUAUGUUGUUGGAAGAAUCCCAGAUAUUAUCCAAGUAAUUAACUGAGAUAGAUGUGUUCUAAUUACAAGGGUUGAUCUUCGAAAAGAUACACUGCAGAUGUCCUAUUUCUGACAAUUAUUUUUUAUUUAUCCUGAUUUGAAACCAUUAUCUUUUCGUGUAUGAACUUUUUAUUCAAGUUGAAGCUGCAGUGAGCUGUGAUCGUGCCAUUGCACUUCAGCCUGGGCAACAGAGCAAAACCCUGUCUCUAGAAGUAUUUUUGAUUAAACAUAUAGACCAAAUUCACCACUUUAAAAUAUACAAAUCAGUGUAUUUUAGUAUAUUCACAAAGUUGUGCAGUCAUCACCACUAAUUGCAGAACACUUUCAUCAUCCCAAAAAGAAACCCCAUGCUUGUUAACAGUUGUUCCCCUCAUUCCCUCCUUUCCUGUUCCUUGCCAACCGUUAAUCUACUUUCUGUCUCUAUGGAUUUGUCUAUUCUGGAUAUUUCAUAUAAAUGGUAUCAUAUACUAUGGCCUUUUGUGUCUGGCUUCUUUCACUUAAUAUGAUAACUGAGGUAUAAUAUUCAUUUAUGUUGUAGCAUGUAUUCUUUUAUUUUUUUUGGAGACAGAGUCUUGCUCUGUCACCAGGUGCUGGGCUAGGGUGCAGAGGUGCGAUCUGGGCUCACUGCAACCUCUGCCUCCCAGGUUCAAGCAAUUCUCCUGCCUCAGCCUCCUGAGUAGCUGGGACUACAGGCAUGUGCCACCACACCCAGCUAAUUUUUGUGUUUUUUUAGUAGAGACAGGGUUUCACCAUGUUGGCCAGGAUGGUCUUGAUCGCUUGACUUCAUGAUCCACCCGCCUCGGCCUCCCAAAGUGUUGGGAUUACAGGCAUGAGCCACCAUGCCCCGCCAGCAUGUAUUCCUUUUUAUGGCUAAAAAGUAUUCCAUGUUUACCAUAUUUUGUACAUCCAUCAGUUGAUGGACAUUUGGGUUUUCAUCUUUUUGCUGUGAAGAAUAAUACUUCUGUGAACAUUCAUGUACAAGGUUAUAUGUGAAUAUAUGUUUUCAAUUUUCUUGGAUAUAUAGGAGCAGAAUUGCUGGGUCACGUGGUAACUGUAUGUUUACCUUGUUUUGCUUUUGUUUUUGUUUGUUUUGUUUCAAGACAGUCUUGCUCUGACACCUAGGCUGGAGUGCAGUGGUGUGAUUUCGGCUCACUGCAACUUCCAUCUCCCAGAUUCAAGUGAUUCUCCCACCUCAGCCUCUUGAGUAGCUGGGACUACAGGUGCCUGCCACCACGCCCGGCUAAUUUUUGUAUUUUGAGUAGAGACAGGGUUUCACCAUUUUGGUCAGGCUGGUCUCAAACUCCUGACCUUGUGAUCCACCUGCCUUUGCCUCCCAAAGUGCUGGGAUUACAGGUGUGAGCCACCACACCCAGCCUAUAUUUACCUUUUGGAGGAAUGGCCAGACUCUUUGCAAAGCAACUGCAUUGUUUUACAUUCACCAGCAAUGUAUGAGGGGUUCCAAUUACUCCACAUUUGCUUUGUCAUUUUCCCCUUUUAAAAAAAGUUAUAGGCUGGGUGUGGUGACUCAUGCCUGUAAUCCCUGCACUUUAGGAGGCUGAAGUUGGUGAAUCACCUGAGGUCAGGAGUUUGAGACCAGCUUGGCAACAUGGUGAACCCCAUCUGUACUAAAUAUACAAAAAUUAGCCAGGUAUGGUGGUGUGUACCUAUAAUCCCAGAUAUUUGGGAGGCUGAGGCGGGAGAAUCGCUUGAACCUGGGACGUGGAGGUUGCAGUGAGCCGAGGUUGUGCCACUGCACUCCAGCCUGGGCAACAGAGUAAGACUCCAUCUCAAAAAAAAAAAAAUUAUAGCCAUACCACUGGGUGUGAAAUGAUAUCUCAUUGUGGUUUUGAUUUGCAUUUUUCUAAUGACUAAUGAUUUUGAGCAUCUUUUCAUUUGCUUCUUGGCCAUUUUGAAAUCCAGUAAAUGUCUCUUUCAACUUUUUUCUUUUUCAAGAUUGUUUUUGCUAUUCUGAGUCCCUUACAUUUCCAUUUGAAUUUUAGGAUCAGCUUGUUACUUCCUGACAAAAAAUGCAACUGAGAUUUUGAUAGGGAUUACAUUUAAUCUGUAGAUCUAUCUGAAUAAUAUUGUUUCUUAAUCCACAAACAUGGAUAUCUUUUCAUUUAUAUAGGUUUUCUUUAAUUUCUUUCAAAAAUGUUUAUAGUUUUCAGUGUAUAAGUCUUACAUUUCUUUGGUUAAAUUUCUAAGAUUUUUAUUAUUGAUGCUUAUAUUAGUUUGCUUGGGCUACAGUAAUAGAAUACCAUAAAUGGUGUGGCUUAAACAAUGGAAACUGAACUUCUUACAGUUCUAAAGACUGGAAGUCUAAGAUUAAGCUGCCAGCAGAGUUGGUUUUGGGUGAGGCCUCUCUUCCUGGUUUGCAGACUGCCUCCUUCUUGCUGUGUCUUCACAUAGACUUUUCUCUGUACAUAUGUAGAGAGAGAGAGUAAUCUUUGAUGUCUCUUCCUCCUCUUCUUCUUCUUCUUCUUUUUUUUUUUUUUUGAGACAGAGUUUUGCUUUUGUUGCCCAGGCUGGAGUGCAAUGGCACAAUCUCAGCUCAACACAACCUCUGCCUCACGGGUUCAAGUGAUUCUCCUGCCUCAGCCUCCUGAGUAGCUGGGACUAUGGGUAUGGGCCAGCAUGCCUGGCUAAUUUUUUAUUUUUAGUAGAGAUGGGGUUUCUCCAUGUUGGUCAGGCUUGUCUUGAACUCCUUACCUCAGGCGAUCUGCCCACCUUAGCCUCUCAAAAUGCUGGGAUUACAGGUGUGAGCCACUGUGCCCAGCUGGAUAAGGAUUCAGUCUUUCACCAACAAGUAUGAUGUUAGCUGGGGCUUUUUGUAGAUGUCCUUUAUCAAAUUGAUGGCAUUUCCUUCUAUUCCCAGAGUGGGAAUGUUUUAUGUUUUUAUCAUAAAAAAAUAUUGGAUUUUGGCCAGGCACGGUGGCUUACACCUGUAAUCCCAGCACUUUGGGAGGCUGAGACAGGCAAAUCACCUGAGAUCAGGAGUUUGAGACCAGCCUGGCUAACAUGGUGAAACCCUUUCUCUGCUAAAAAUACAAAAAUUAGCCGGUGUGGUGGCAGGUGCCUGUAAUCCCAGUUACUCAGGAGGCUGAGGCAAGAGAAUCGUUGGAACCUGGGAAGCAGAGGUUGCAGUGAACAGAGAUCGUGCCACCCCAGCUUGGGCGGCAGAGCAAGAAUCCAUCUCAAAAAAAAAAAAAAAGAUAUUGGAUUUUGUUUAAUGCUGCU